rnacentral:rRNA from 1 species
UACGGGGGGGGGCAAGCGUUUGUUCGGAAUUACUGGGCGUAAAGGGCUCGUAGGCGGCCAACUAAGUCGGACGUGAAAUCCCCAGGCUCAACCUGGGAACUGCGUCCGAUACUGGAUGGCUUGAAUCCGGGAGAGGGAUGCAGAAUUCCAGGUGUAGCGGUGAAAUGCGUAGAUAUCUGGAGGAAUACCGGUGGCGAAGGCGGCAUCCUGGACCGGCAUUGACGCUGAGGAGCGAAGGCUAGGGGAGCGAACGGG